rnacentral:rRNA from 1 species
CCUACGGUGUGGCAGCAGUGGGGAAUAUUGGACAAUGGGCGAAAGCCUGAUCCAGCCAUGCCGCGUGUGUGAAGAAGGCCUUCGGGUUGUAAAGCACUUUCAGUGGGGAAGAAAGCCUUGGGGCUAAUACCCUCGAGGAAGGACAUCACCCACAGAAGAAGCACCGGCUAACUCCGUGCCAGCAGCCGCGGUAAUACGGAGGGUGCGAGCGUUAAUCGGAAUUACUGGGCGUAAAGCGCGCGUAGGCGGUCUGAUAAGCCGGUUGUGAAAGCCCCGGGCUCAACCUGGGAACGGCAUCCGGAACUGUCAGGCUAGAGUGCAGGAGAGGAAGGUAGAAUUCCCGGUGUAGCGGUGAAAUGCGUAGAGAUCGGGAGGAAUACCAGUGGCGAAGGCGGCCUUCUGGACUGACACUGACGCUGAGGUGCGAAAGCGUGGGUAGCAAACAGGAUUAGAUACCCUAGUAGUC